UACGGAGGGUGCGAACGUUGUUCGGAAUUAUUGGGCGUAAAGCGCGUGUAGGCGGCCUAGCAAGUCAGAUGUGAAAUCCCUUGGCUCAACUGAGGAAGAGCAUUUGAAACUGCUGGGAUAGAGUAUGGGAGAGGGUUGUAGAAUUCCCGGUGUAGAGGUGAAAUUCGUAGAUAUCGGGAGGAAUACCUGUGGCGAAGGCGGCAACCUGGACCAAUACUGACGCUGAGACGCGAAAGCGUGGGGAGCAAACAGG
rnacentral:rRNA from 1 species